CCUACGGGCGACAGCAGUGGGGAAUAUUGCACAAUGGGGGAAACCCUGAUGCAGCGACGCCGCGUGAGUGAAGAAGUAAUUCGUUAUGUAAAGCUCUAUCAGCAGGGAAGAAAAUGACGGUACCUGAUCAAGAAGCCCCGGCUAACUACGUGCCAGCAGCCGCGGUCAUACGUAGGGGGCAAGCGUUAUCCGGAUUUACUGGGUGUAAAGGGAGCGUAGACGGCAGUGCAAGUCUGGAGUGAAAGGCGGGGGCUCAACCCCCGGACUGCUCUGGAAACUGUACGGCUGGAGUGCAGGAGAGGUAAGUGGAAUUCCUAGUGUAGCGGUGAAAUGCGUAGAUAUUAGGAGGAACACCAGUGGCGAAGGCGGCUUACUGGACUGUAACUGACGUUGAGGCUCGAAAGCGUGGGGAGCAAACAGGAUUAGAUACCCCUGUAGUC
rnacentral:rRNA from 1 species